AAGUCGUAACAAGGUUUCCGUAGGUGAACCUGCGGAAGGAUCAUUAUCGAGUUUUGACUGGGUUGUAGCUGGCCUCCCGAGGCAUGUGCAGGCCCUGCUCAUCCACUCUACACCUGUGCACUUACUGUGGGCUUCAGACGUCGUGAAGCGGGCUCUUUACGGAGCUUGUAGAGCGUGUCUGUGCCUGCGUUUACCACAAACUCUAUAAAGUAUUAGAAUGUGUAUUGCGAUGUAACGCACCUAUGUACAACUUUCAGCAACGGAUCUCUUGGCUCUC
rnacentral:misc_RNA from 1 species